rnacentral:rRNA from 1 species
GACGAACGCUGGCGGCGUGCUUAACACAUGCAAGUCGAGCGGUAAGGCCCUUUCGGGGGUACACGAGCGGCGAACGGGUGAGUAACACGUGGGUGACCUGCCUCUAGCUCUGGGAUAAGCCCGGGAAACUGGGUCUAAUACUGGAUAUGACUCCAUGACGCAUGUUGUGGGGUGGAAAGCCUUGUGCGGCUAGAGAUGGGCCCGCGGCCUAUCAGCUUGUUGGNGGGGUGAUGGCCUACCAAGGCGACGACGGGUAGCCGGCCUGAGAGGGCGGACCGGCCACACUGGGACUGAGACACGGCCCAGACUCCUACGGGAGGCAGCAGUGGGGAAUCUUGCGCAAUGGGCGAAAGCCUGACGCAGCGACGCCGCGUGAGGGAUGACGG